ACAAGCGGUGGAUGAUGUGGUUAAUUCGAUGCAACGCGAAAACCUUACCACCUUGACAUGUACGGAACCUUUAGAGAUAGAGGGUGCUCGAAAGAGAGCCGUAACACAGGUGCUGCAUGGCUGUCGUCAGCUCGUGUCGUGAGAUGUUGGGUUAAGUCCCGCAACGAGCGCAACCCUUGUCAUUAGUUGCUACAUUCAGUUGGGCACUCUAAUGAGACUGCCGGUGACAAGCCGGAGGAAGGUGGGGAUGACGUCAAGUCCUCAUGGCCCUUAUAGGUGGGGCUACACACGUCAUACAAUGGUCGGUACAGAGGGUUGCCAACCCGCGAGGGGGAGCUAAUCCCACAAAGCCGAUCGUAGUCCGGAUCGCAGUCUGCAACUCGACUGCGUGAAGUCGGAAUCGCUAGUAAUCGUGGAUCAGCAUGUCACGGUGAAUACGUUCCCGGGUCUU
rnacentral:rRNA from 1 species